CACCAGCGCCGUGUCCUGGGCCAACACCCCAGACAUCUGGAGCCUUGGUGGUCCAGACCAAGACGGAUGCUUCCCUCAGCUACCCACCCAGGCUCUCUCUUCUGGAGCUCAUUUCCGGUCUGAGAAAGAAGGCUCUUAAUUCAACUCCUGAUACCCGAAUGACCUCAGCCUUCAAGUGACCUGGCACAACCCUCCAUGAACAGUUUAUUCAGGCGCUCUUUCCAGACUCAUUUGCUGAACCCCCCCUCCCAAAUCCCCAAGACCCCAUCAAUGCCUGGCACUGUGCCCUGAGGCACUGGGGUUUGAAGAUGAAUGAGUGAGAACCGAGAACCUGCUCACAUGAAGCUCAUAACCAAGGGGCUGAGACUGCCUGGUCACCCCCAACGCUAUUGUGUGGGACCAGUGCAGGACAGAGAUGGACAGACAGAAGUCAGGAAGACCAGGGUCUGGUCUCAAGCAUGGGGGAGAACUCCACUGAGGACGCCCAGGAUGGAGAGGUCCAGACGUAUGCCCUGGAGUCCAGUAUGUAUACCCCCAACUCCAUCACUGAUUAGAGCCUGUUUCCUUGUCAACAAAAUGGGACUAAUAAUGCCUUCCUUUGCAAAGCUAUUGUGAGGCUAAUACGUCAUAUGUACAUACAAUGCCUAACGUGGUUACUGCACACAGUAGGUACUCAAUAAAUAGAGCUGUUAGUAACAUUCUCUCUCCCUCCACCUUUUGUGCCACCACUUUGCAGACUAGACUCACUUUGAACCAAGGAUGUUCUAGGGUCUCUUCUGCG
rnacentral:lncRNA from 10 species